rnacentral:rRNA from 1 species
GAUGAACGCUGGCGGCGUGCCUAAUACAUGCAAGUCGAGCGAACGGACGAGAAGCUUGCUUCUCUGAUGUUAGCGGCGGACGGGUGAGUAACACGUGGAUAACCUACCUAUAAGACUGGGAUAACUUCGGGAAACCGGAGCUAAUACCGGAUAAUAUUUUGAACCGCAUGGUUCAAAAGUGAAAGAAGGUCUUGCUGUCACUUAUAGAUGGAUCCGCGCUGCAUUAGCUAGUUGGUAAGGUAACGGCUUACCAAGGCAACGAUGCAUAGCCGACCUGAGAGGGUGAUCGGCCACACUGGAACUGAGACACGGUCCAGACUCCUACGGGAGGCAGCAGUAGGGAAUCUUCCGCAAUGGGCGAAAGCCUGACGGAGCAACGCCGAGUGAGUGAUGAAGGUCUUCGGAUCGUAAAACUCUGUUAUUAGGGAAGAACAUAUGUGUAAGUAACUGUGCACAUCUUGACGGUACCUAAUCAGAAAGCCACGGCUAACUACGUG